UACGGAGGGGGCUAGCGUUGUUCGGAAUUACUGGGCGUAAAGCGUACGUAGGCGGCUUUGUAAGUUAGAGGUGAAAGCCCGGGGCUCAACUCCGGAAUUGCCUUUAAGACUGCAUCGCUUGAAUCAUGGAGAGGUGAGUGGAAUUCCGAGUGUAGAGGUGAAAUUCGUAGAUAUUCGGAAGAACGCCAGUGGCGAAGGCGACUCACUGGACAUGUAUUAACGCUGAGGUACGAAAGCGUGGGGGGCAAACAGG
rnacentral:rRNA from 1 species